rnacentral:rRNA from 1 species
CGACCUGAGCUCAGGCAAGAUUACCCGCUGAACUUAAGCAUAUCAAUAAGCGGAGGAAAAGAAA